rnacentral:rRNA from 1 species
CGGCUGGCGGCGUGCCUAACACAUGCAAGUCAACUUGACUGAAGGAGCAAUCUGACAGUAGAGUGGCGCAAGGGUGCGUAACGCGUAAGUAACUUGCCCCAAGGUAAGGAAUAACGUCGAGAAAUCGGCGCUAAUACCUCAUAAUGCAGCGGAUCCGCAUGGAUAUGUUGUUAAAGGUUUACCGCCUUGGGAUAGGCUUGCGUCUGAUUAGCUAGUUGGUGUGGUAACGGCACACCAAGGCUACGAUCAGUAACUGGUCUGAGAGGAUGAUCAGUCACACUGGAACUGAGACACGGUCCAGACUCCUACGGGAGGCAGCAGUGAGGAAUAUUGGGCAAUGCUCGAAAGAGUGACCCAGCAACGCCGCGUGGAGGAUGAAGGUAUUCUAUAUCGUAAACUCCUGUGAGAGCAGACGAAAGACAGAUUAUUAAUCUGGAUGACUGUAUGCUCAGAGGAAGCCCCGGCUAACUACGUG